UGAGUAACCUGCCCUUCACUCUGGGAUAACUCCAGGAAACCGGGGCUAAUACUGGAUAUGACUCGAACAGGCAUCUGUUUCGGGUGGAAAGAUUUAUUGGUGGAGGAUGGACUCGCGGCCUAUCAGCUUGUAGGUGAGGUAAUGGCUCACCAAGGCGACGACGGGUAGCCGGCCCGAGAGGGCGAUCGGCCACACUGGGACUGAGACACGGCCCAGACCUCCGUACGGGAGCA
rnacentral:rRNA from 1 species